AGCGGCGGACGGGUUAGUAACGCGUGGGAACGUGCCCUUUGCUCUGGAAUAGCCCUGGGGAACUGGGGGUAAUACCAGAUGUGCCCUUUGGGGGAAAGAUUUAUCGGCAAGGGAUCGGCCCGCGUCUGAUUAGGUAGUUGGUGUGGUAAUGGCGCACCAAGCCGACGAUCGGUAGCUGGUUUGAGAGGAUGAUCAGCAACACUGGGACUGAGACACGGCCCAGACUCCUACGGGAGGCAGCAGUGGGGGAAUCUUAGACAAUGGGCGCAAGCCUGAUCUAGCCAUGCCGCGUGGGUGAUGAAAGCCUAAGGGUCGUUAAGCCCCUUUCGCCGGGGAAGAAUAUGACGGUAACCGGGUAAAGAAACCCGGGCUAACUCCGUGCCAGCAGCCGCGUAAUACGAAGGGGGUUAGCGUUGUUCGGAAUGACUGGGCGUAAAGCGCGCGUUAGCCGACCAUCCAAGUCCGGGGUGGAAAUCCGGGGGCUCAACCCCGAAAUGCCUCCAAACUGGUGGUCUUGAUCCAAAAAGGGGAUGAAUUCGAAGUGAAGGAAAAUUCCGAAAUUCGGAGAACCUAUGGCAAGGGGGCUCCUGGUCCAACUGAGCUGAAGUGGCAACGGGGGGACCCCACGGAUU
rnacentral:rRNA from 1 species